AUGGCCAACCCCUCCAUGGCGGCCGGCGGCGGGGUGCCGUGGGCGGAGGGGGCCCGCGCCGUCGGGGCCCAGAUCCGCAACCGCCUCCGCGUGGCGCCCGUCGACCGCCGCUGGCUCUGGCGCCGCCCCGAGGGCCGCGCCGCCUCCGAGGCCGUCCGCCAGUGGUCCGACCGCCUCCGCGCCAUCCUGCACCGGGACAAGCAGGGGCCCGACCAGCAGCAGCAGCAGCAGGGCCCCGCCUCCCCCGACGCCGCGGCGGCGGCGAAGGCGAAGCCCUCCUCCAGCGCUCUCAGGUUCUACAGGAAGAAAGUGGGCAAAGAGGUUAACGGGGUCGAAGAUUCCGUGAUUUUCCGCUCGCUCCAAGCACUGGCCGUUCCUCUAAUUGGCAAUGCUUGCUAUGUUUUUAUGCACGGCCUUAACUCUGUCCAGAUUUAUGGUGCGGAGAAACUUCAGCAGGCAUUACAAGAGAGGCCUAAAGACAAACCUCUUCUAACGGUCAGCAAUCACGUGGCUGCUAUGGAUGACCCUUUUGUAAUUGCGUCCCUUCUGCCACCAUCUGUUAUGAUGGAAGCACAAAAGCUGAGAUGGACACUAUGUGCGACUGAUCGUUGCUUUACAAAUCCAGUUCUGUCCACCUUCUUCAGGUCUGUUAAAGUGUUGCCUGUUAACCGUGGUGAAGGCAUCUACCAAAAGGGAAUGGAUAUGGCGCUCUCAAAGCUUAAUAAUGGUGGAUGGGUUCAUAUAUUUCCUGAAGGAAGUCGUUCAAAGGAUGGAGGGAAAACCAUUGCUCCUGCUAAGAGAGGUGUUGGAAGAUUGGUAAUGGAUGCUGACAGCCUACCGGUUGUUGUCCCCUUUGUCCAUACUGGGAUGCAGGACAUAAUGCCUGUUGGGAAACGUAUCCCAAGAACAGGCAAAAGGGUGAUAGUGGUUGUUGGCGACCCAAUCAACUUUGACGACCUGAUGGCUGAGAACAGCAACGACUCCCAACAUAUUUCUAGAGGUGACCUGUAUGACAAAGUAACCGAAAGGAUUGGGCAGCGGCUGCAGCAACUGAAGGUGGAGGUCGACAGAUUGGCGGCAGAGCAGAAGGCCGAGCUCCAAAACUGUCACACAGCCGACACAGUCAACGACGGGUACAAGGUGUGGCAGCAGGUCGACUGGGAGUCGUUCGGCAUAGGGAACAUGCUGUCAGCAGCCGCCGAGCAUUCGUCAGCCCAAGAGCCCCCAAAGCAGAUCCAGCACGAAGUGCUCCUGGCGGAACAAAGCGUGUCUCCAGCAAAGCAGGCAGAGCCCGAGCCGCGCCUCGAGGAGGAACAGAGCGUUUUUUCUCCAAUCUCUCGCGUCCCACACUGGUUCAGCCGGCACACGGACGCCUCGGAGCUCAUGGGGUUCGCCGCGCGCGGCCUUGUCAGGAACGGCAGGUCCAUGCAGGAGGGGUACCGGCAGUUCCAGGAGCCGUCGGCGUUCAACGCCUGGUGGGAGGCGCAGACGAGCAGCGCGAUGAUGCCCAGGUGGAGCACUGCUUGA
rnacentral:rRNA from 1 species